UACAGAGGGGGCAAGCGUUGUUCGGAAUUACUGGGCGUAAAGGGCUCGUAGGUGGCCAACUAAGUCAGACGUGAAAUCCCUCGGCUUAACCGGGGAACUGCAUCUGAUACUGGAUGGCUUGAGUUUGGGAGAGGGAUGCGGAAUUCCAGGUGUAGCGGUGAAAUGCGUAGAUAUCUGGAGGAACACCGGUGGCGAAGGCGGCAUCCUGGACCAACACUGACGCUGAGGAGCGAAAGCCAGGGGAGCAAACGGG
rnacentral:rRNA from 1 species